rnacentral:rRNA from 1 species
UGCCAGCCGCCGCGGUAAUACGGAGGGUGCAAGCGUUGUUCGGAAUUACUGGGCGUAAAGCGCGCGUAGGCGGCUUUUUAAGUCAGAUGUGAAAGUCCACGGCUCAACCGUGGAAGUGCAUUUGAAACUGGAAAGCUUGAGUAUCAGAGGGGAUGGUGGAAUUCCCGGUGUAGAGGUGAAAUUCGUAGAUAUCGGGAGGAAUACCGGUGGCGAAAGCGGCUAUCUGGACGGUGACUGACGCUGAGGCACGAAAGCAUAGGUAGCAAACAGGAUUAGAUA